GACGAAGGAUGCAAGCGUUAUCCGGAUUCAUUGGGUUUAAAGGGAGCGUAGGCGGCCUUGUAAGUCAGUGGUGAAAUCUCUGGGCUUAACCCAGAAAUUGCCAUUGAUACUGCAGGGCUUGAGUACAGUUGCCGUUGGCGGAAUAUGACAUGUAGUGGUGAAAUACAUAGAGAUGUCAUAGAACACCGAUUGCGAAGGCAGCUAACGAAACUAUAACUGACACUGAGGCUCGAAAGUGUGGGGAUCAAACAGG
rnacentral:rRNA from 1 species